AAAUUGAAGAGUUUGAUCAUGGCUCAGAUUGAACGCUGGCGGCAGGCCUAACACAUGCAAGUCGAACGGUAACAGGAAGAAGCUUGCUUCUUUGCUGACGAGUGGCGGACGGGUGAGUAAUGUCUGGGAAACUGCCUGAUGGAGGGGGAUAACUACUGGAAACGGUAGCUAAUACCGCAUAACGUCGCAAGACCAAAGAGGGGGACCUUCGGGCCUCUUGCCAUCGGAUGUGCCCAGAUGGGAUUAGCUAGUAGGUGGGGUAACGGCUCACCUAGGCGACGAUCCCUAGCUGGUCUGAGAGGAUGACCAGCCACACUGGAACUGAGACACGGUCCAGACUCCUACGGGAGGCAGCAGUGGGGAAUAUUGCACAAUGGGCGCAAGCCUGAUGCAGCCAUGCCGCGUGUAUGAAGAAGGCCUUCGGGUUGUAAAGUACUUUCAGCGGGGAGGAAGGGAGUAAAGUUAAUACCUUUGCUCAUUGACGUUACCCGCAGAAGAAGCACCGGCUAACUCCGUGCCAGCAGCCGCGGUAAUACGGAGGGUGCAAGCGUUAAUCGGAAUUACUGGGCGUAAAGCGCACGCAGGCGGUUUGUUAAGUCAGAUGUGAAAUCCCGGCUCAACCUGGGAACUGCAUCUGAUACUGGCAAGCUUGAGUCUCGUAGAGGGGGGGUAGAAUUCCAGGUGUAGCGGUGAAAUGCGUAGAGAUCUGGAGGAAUACCGGUGGCGAAGGCGGCCCCCUGGACGAAGACUGACGCUCAGGUGCGAAAGCGUGGGGAGCAAACAGGAUUAGAUACCCUGGUAGUCCACGCCGUAAACGAUGUCGACUUGGAGGUUGUGCCCUUGAGGCGUGGCUUCCGGAGCUAACGCGUUAAGUCGACCGCCUGGGGAGUACGUACCGCAAGGUUAAAACUCAAAUGAAUUGACGGGGGCCCGCACAAGCGGUGGAGCAUGUGGUUUAAUUCGAUGCAACGCGAAGAACCUUACCUGGUCUUGACAUCCACGGAAGUUUUCAGAGAUGAGAAUGUGCCUUCGGGAACCGUGAGACAGGUGCUGCAUGGCUGUCGUCAGCUCGUGUUGUGAAAUGUUGGGUUAAGUCCCGCAACGAGCGCAACCCUUAUCCUUUGUUGCCAGCGGUCCGGCCGGGAACUCAAAGGAGACUGCCAGUGAUAAACUGGAGGAAGGUGGGGAUGACGUCAAGUCAUCAUGGCCCUUACGACCAGGGCUACACACGUGCUACAAUGGCGCAUACAAAGAGAAGCGACCUCGCGAGAGCAAGCGGACCUCAUAAAGUGCGUCGUAGUCCGGAUUGGAGUCUGCAACUCGACUCCAUGAAGUCGGAAUCGCUAGUAAUCGUGGAUCAGAAUGCCACGGUGAAUACGUUCCCGGCCUUGUACACACCGCCCGUCACACCAUGGGAGUGGGUUGCAAAAGAAGUAGGUAGCUUAACCUUCGGGAGGGCGCUUACCACUUUGUGAUUCAUGACUGGGGUGAAGUCGUAACAAGGUAACCGUAGGGGAACCUGCGGUUGGAUCACCUCCUUA
rnacentral:rRNA from 1 species